UGGCUGAAGUUGGACGCUUAACUGACUGCGCCACCCAGGCGUCCUUACCCAUCUUAUUUUUUGAUGCAUUUCCAAGGGAGUUGCAGACUAUCCACCGGAGCACCACAGGAUGGCUCCCCACAGAGGGCAGCAGGCUAACUGGGCAGCUGGUUGUUUGAUCCAACGUUAGAAGACUGCAUUUCAUGAGAACCAAGACAACAUCUCCUCUAGCUGUCUGGGCCAGCAGUGUGCGUCACACCACAGACUGCCUGCCCAGCCACUUCUUUCCGGUUCCUGUUUUUGUCUGAAAAAUGGCAAAGUUGGGAAUUAAAAAUGAGUUGUAAAAGCCCCCGCGUGAUUCUUUGUAGUCAAAUGUAAAUGUAAAUAAAAGCAUACUAGGUUUGGAAAUCAAAUAUAAAAGUGCAUACGGUAUUAAUCCCUUUUUAAAGGAAAUUUAAAUAUAUCCAAUGAAAUAGCUCAGCUACUCCCUCUUCCUUUUGUGUUUUCAGCCUUUGUCAGAACACUGGUUCUCCAGCCUUAGAUUACACAGAUGCUGUAGUUUCCCUUUGCCUGAUGCCCGUUCCCUGGUAACUAACUGCACUUUUCUUUACGAACUCAUUUUAAUCUCAUGCUUCACCAAAUGCAAUCUGAUCGUGCCCUCAAGAAAUUGCUUUAUCAAAACUGGCCAAUCCCUAACCCCAUUUGCCACUGUCAGGUCAUUAUUCUGUCCGCCUUUUUUUUUUUUUUUUUAAUGAUUAUUUAUUUUUGAGAGAGAGAGACU